GCAAUGCCGCGUGCAGGAAGAAGGCCUUCGGGUGUAAACUGCUUUGUACGGAACGAAACGGUCUGGAUUAAUACCCUGGGCUAAUGACGGUACCGUAAGAAUAAGCACCGGCUAACUACGUGCCAGCAGCCGCGGUAAUACGUAGGGUGCAAGCGUUAAUCGGAAUUACUGGGCGUAAAGCGUGCGCAGGCGGUUUUGUAAGACAGGCGUGAAAUCCCCGGGCUCAACCUGGGAAUUGCGCUUGUGACUGCAAAGCUGGAGUGCGGCAGAGGGGGAUGGAAUUCCGCGUGUAGCAGUGAAAUGCGUAGAUAUGCGGAGGAACACCGAUGGCGAAGGCAAUCCCCUGGGCCUGCACUGACGCUCAUGCACGAAAGCGUGGGGAGCAAACAGGAUUAGAUACCCUGGUAGUCCACGCCCUAAACGAUGUCAACUGGUUGUUGGGAAUUUACUUUCUCAGUAACGAAGCUAACGCGUGAGGUUGACCGCCUGGGGAGUACGGCCGCAAGGUUG
rnacentral:rRNA from 1 species